AAGACUUUAAGUUAAAAAAACUAUAUACCUUCAAAGUAUAAAAUAAUAUAAUUAAGUCUUA
rnacentral:tRNA from 1 species